UACGUAGGGUGCAAGCGUUGUCCGGAAUUAUUGGGCGUAAAGAGCUCGUAGGCGAUCUGUUGCGUCGGCUGUGAAAACCCGGGGCUCAACUCCGGGCCUGCAGCCGAUACGGGCAGACUAGAGUUCGGCAGGGGAGACUGGAAUUCCUGGUGUAGCGGUGAAAUGCGCAGAUAUCAGGAGGAACACCGGUGGCGAAGGCGAGUCCCUGGACAACACCUGACACUGAGGCACGAAAGCUAGGGGAGCAAACAGG
rnacentral:rRNA from 1 species